rnacentral:misc_RNA from 1 species
CACCACCACUACUACGGUCACAAUCCCUAGCUAAAUGUCCAGCAGCACCACAGUUAUAACACCCGCCUCUGCCACCUCCUCCACCUCCACUGUUGCGAUCACAGUCCCUAGCCAAAUGUCCCGUCCUUCCACAGUUAUAACACUCACCGGCGCUACGAUACCCACCAUCAUUGCCGUUCCUCCGAUAACCACCAUCAUCACCACCAUAACCGUAACCCCCACCCCCACGACUGUUACUAUUUCCCCUGCCAUUGCGGCCACUAUCGAGAGGAGCGCCAUCGGGCCCAGUGACAUCAAUAGCCUGGUACUUAUCUCCCUUCACAGUCAUGGUGAACUCCACUUUCUGGCCUUCGUAGAGAGAACGGUAGCCAUCAGAUUUGAUCUCUGAUUGAUGAACGAACAGAUCUUCGGAUCCAUCAUCAGGUUUGAUGAAACCGUAACCCUUUGGGUUACUGAACUUAGAAACUGUUCCUGUCAUUCUGGAUGCCUCCACCGCCAUUCCUAACCAAUCUAUUGAUCGGAACUCCGCAAAACCCUUGAG